CCGACGCUGAGGCGGGGGUAGUUCUUCCGGGCAAUCAGCCCGGGAAGCCUGAAGCGGGGAGCAGAGGGGGAGGGCGUGGGGCGUCUUGGUCCGGGUCGGGGCGUGGUGGUCCCCGUCCUGUCCCCAAGAGGACCUAAUUUUGGCGCCAAGAUUGGUAUGCAACAGGUCACUUGGGCCCAGAGGAGGAAAAGAUAUCUUGCAAAGAAGAUAGUACAAAUUCCUUUUUGUGUCUUAAUCAUUGUGUUUAAUUCUAUUCCUUUCAUACCUUGAGUUCUUGGGCUCUGCAGCGUGCCAGACACACAGCAGGUCCCUAGGAAACAUUGCUGAUACUGAUAUGACCAGAAAAACCAGACACGAAGCUGUGUGUCUGGUGACCACUAGAGAGAGCUGAAAGGCAAGCAUCUAAAGGCCUUUGAAGCGCAGCCUCCUCAGUCCUUGCAGGAGGCAUUGUGGCUCUGAGAACCUUUGAACUUGGCAAGACACUCUGAGAAGGCAACAGAGAGGCUGUGCAAAGGAGCUAAGCCAACAUUAAGGCCUAACUUCUGCAGCUGACACUGAGAGCAAAGGAGGCCACCAAUUCCCAGGAUGGAGCAUCUUGAAAAACUGAAAGGAAGUCAGUGGCUCACACCUUUAAUCCCAGCACUUGGG